UCCAUGGGUCUACCUCCACAACGCACUCCACGCCCAAGGGACAGGGCUAGGCGUCACCAGCCCACAGGUAUGGACAGUCUCAUUAAUGACAUGGGCGAAUUGCAGAUUGGGCAAGAAGCAACAUUGCAACUGGCGUUACAAAACGGCCAACAUAUCCGACGUGUGCGAGAGGAAGACGCACAACGCUGGACUGGAUGGUACCAAAAUUUCCCGCCACCACAGUGAGCGAAGAUCUAGCUUGGGGAGAUCCUCUCCCCCACUAAGGUAAGUAUUCUAUCCUAUUUAUUUUCAUGCAUUUUAUCAUUCUUACUUAAAAAAAAUAAAUAAAUAUUUAUUAGCAUUUCCCUUUAGCAUAUAUGCUUCAUGUAUGUUUAUAUCCGUCAUGGAAAUUAUGACUAGUUGCUUGUUAAUGUUUCUCUAGUGCCUAGUAUACAACUUAGUAUUUCUCUAAGUAUGGAUCACUUAGCUCACUUAAACUGCCAUGAACCUAAAAACUUUGUGGGUUGCAAGUGCUAGAACUAAGUCUAAGUUAUUGUGGGACAUGAGAUAGUAAGACAAGAGCUACUAUAAUAUUUUUCUAAGCAUGCAUGAUUAUCAGAGAUUUAUUCUUAAAAUGAUCAAAACCUUAAUUGUUCCUCAAUGGUGAUGAAUUCCUACCACAGCCAUAUCUACUUUACAUAAUUGCAACCUUUCCACAUAAGCUAUUUGCUUUGUGUUGAGUGUCGUCAAGUCUUGUUGACCCUUGUUAAGAGACUUUUCAUGCUCCUAAGAUCAAGAUCACGUACACACCACAUAUAUAUAUGCUGCUUCUACACUGGAAGUACGCAACCACAUGUAUUUCGCAUCCACUAAAUAGGUUGCUCCAUACUCUAAAUGUUAGAACAUCUCUCUAAGCAUUAUUUGGUAAAUGAGACAUCAAAAGGCUAGGCAAAAUGAAAUAAAAAGAUGGACAUGUGCAAGUCCACAGAAAAAGAAAAUUGAGCACAUGAAAGCCCAUAUAUAAAAAAAAAGAAGAAAAAAAUGCUAGCCAUGUCUCAAUACAUAGAGAGUCUAUCAAAUAAAGGAGCAACCUAGUCCACCAUAUAUCACACUUGCACAUCUUGAUCUGGGAGUAUGACACUUCUCUUCAAGGAUCCGAGCUUUGACUUCGCAAUAUAUGCAAAGUAAGUAUGCUAUCUCCUUUCAUCCCUACCUUGAACUCCACAUAAGCCUUUUAGAAAUAGGAUGAAAUAGAGAAGGCAACUCUUACCAUAUGCCUUGGUGAGGAAUCAUACACCAUUUGAGUGACAUGAGAGAACCAUAAGAGGAACAUUUAAGCUUUCUUUUGAAAAUAUCACAAAACCUCUGAUAUGAAACUUGCUAAGAAUGAGAAAGUUAGUGCUCAAGUCAAACUGUUCUGUCUCUCAACCACCUAAGACAAAGGAAAAGCCAUAAGCCCCAUAAGGGACUAAGGUAAUAGGGGUAAGUUUACAUAGCUAAAUUUUUCAUGCAAAGAGAAGAACUUUGUUGUACACAUGGUACUCUUG
rnacentral:lncRNA from 1 species